rnacentral:rRNA from 1 species
UUCCGAUGAGGUGAACCAGCGGAGGGAUCAUUACCGAGUUUACAACUCCCAAACCCCUGUGAACAUACCACUUGUUGCCUCGGCGGAUCAGCCCGCUCCCGGUAAAACGGGACGGCCCGCCAGAGGACCCCUAAACUCUGUUUCUAUAUGUAACUUCUGAGUAAAACCAUAAAUAAAUCAAAACUUUCAACAACGGAUCUCUUGGCUCUCGCAUCGAUGAAGAACGCAGCGAAAUGCGAUAAGUAAUGUGAAUUGCAGAAUUCAGUGAAUCAUCGAAUCUUUGAACGCACCUUGCGCUCCUUGGUAUUCCUCGGAGCAUGCCUGUUUGAGUAUCAUGAAAUCUUCAAAAUAAAUCUUUUGUUCACUCAAAUCGAUUUUAUUUUGGACUUGGAGGCUUGCAGAUUCACGUCUGCUCCUCUUAAAUUUAUUAGCUGGAUCUCGGUGAGCUCGGUUCCACUCGGCGUGAUAAGUAUCACUCGCCGAGGACACUGUAAAAGGUGGCCGGGAUUGCGGAUGAACCGCUUCUAAUAGUCCAUUGACUUGGACAAUAAAUACUUUAUGAUCUGAUCUCAAAUCAGGUAGGACUACCCGCUGAACUUAAGCAUAUCAAUAGGAAGGGAAA